GGAAAAAUGGCUUCUCCCCACCGGCGAUUGUUGUUUACGAUUUUCUAUCAGUUCUCACCACACAGCGACGUCUCAUCUUUGCUCCUUGAAUGUCGAUAUGUAAUGGUAUGGAGUUAUUGAAACUUACGUUUAAAAAGACUAGAAAUUGAAUGUUUAUUUUUCAUUGAAUGUUUACAUAAAGUUGCACUGGGUGCCUUUAACAACAAGGUGACACUACCAUGUAGUUUUUUUGUCAAGGCACAGACAUAACUCUUAAGUUGCACACAUGAAUAACAAUUUUUUUUUUUUACGUUCAUUUUUUACAUGGAGGCUAGAUGUAUGGAGAGGUUCGUAAAUUCCUGAGAUAAGGCAACACCACUGGUUACAAAUGUUAAGAAACAGGUUGACACCUUCUUGUUCAGAAGAUGAAUAAGCGUGACCGUAAAAUAUUUAAGUAGACACUGCCCCCUAGAGGUCACCAAGAUAACAGGACUACUUCUUCGAAAUUAUUAAUGGGAGACAACUUCUUCAAUCUAUUUUAAAACGACUGGCUAUCCAAUUAUAAUUCGUUCAUAUCAUAAAAAGUUAUUUAUUCCUGCUCUACUGGCACGUAUUUGAUUACCAAUUUUUGGGUAUCCAAAACUACAAAGGUCAGAUCACCGAGGUUGGAGUUCACUUUCUAAAAUCAAGUCAAAUACGCUUUGGAUAAAAGUUUAAUUCACAAAAAUACAUUGACCAAUAUAAUGAAAAUGUACUAAAAUGUACUUUAAUAAUCCAUAAAAGCUGGAACAUCAUUUGACAAAAAAAAAUAAAACAAAAAAAACAAAAGAAGCAUUAUUAGAGUUGGUUUUAGUAUAAUAUAUUUCGGCUUCAAGAGACAUAGAAAUCAAUCCUUAUUUCCCCCCAUAUUUCUUCUAUAAAAGACCCAUUUUUUUUCUGAAGCAUCAUUAUGCAAAAAUGGCAUUAGAAUAUAUUAUGGGAGCUAUGAAAUCCCAGUGACAGUAUAAAAUUAAGUCACUUCAGAGAGAUAUCUGCAGAAGAGAGAAGGUCCAUGAACAAUUGGGCAAAACUAAAACAAAAGGAAAACAAAAGAAAAACAAAACAUGGAUGUUGUUCUAUUACCACUGACAUGACAGCCAUGGAGGAUCGGGUCAUGGCUAUAAAAAGAAAAACUAAAAAAAACUUUCACUUCUCCACUUGAGUUCACUUUGAAGACAUCUACACUUUUAACAGAUGUGGUAUUUCAUGCUUUUUGAAGAUUCAUUAUAACCAUACAACUAAAGAGGUCCACUUUCCAUGUCUUCGCAACAAUCUAUUCAUAUUGCCAAGACGGAAAAAUACUGAAUUGACGUUAUAACUUGUUUUUUUAUCCCCCCCUCUUAAUGGUUGGUAUUAUUCCUUUUUUAAUUUUUUCCGUCAAACAUCUAAAAAUAAGAGAAUUUAUAAAAAUAAAAAUAAGGGCAAAGUAAGCAGACGACAAAUCCGCAGUUGAGCUGCGGUAAGAGGCUUUUCUAUUUCAUCAUAGUCGUCGUCAUGGUUGUUGUUGUUAAAGAGUUUGCGGUGGUUUGGAUGUACACACUGUCCGUUCACGGGGUUUAAAUCAACACUGAUGCAGAGACACAUGACACGGGUCCCUCGCAGGUGAGAGAGAGACAGUGAGGGAGGGAGCUGGGCCCCCUCGUCCCCGUCUCCGUGUCGGGAACAGACCGGUCAGCUGAUUCACUUUUUAUGGCGGAUGGCGGAGGAUGGGGUGCGGGGUAGAGAGGGGGGGGAAGGGGGAGGGAGUCAGGGGUGUGUGGGGAAGGGAGGAGCAGGGUGAUUGGGAGGGGAGGGGCUGUUCGGAAUGCUGGCACGUUCCAAUCAGGGCAACAGUUCUUCAUUACAGCAUUCUAAAGAAGAACAAAAACAGAGCACAAGCAACCAAUAAAGAAAUGCAUGCUUCAUUUAAGCCCCUGAUCCUGCCCCUAAAGCCGAUGAUGGGGUUUGGUGCCCCCUAUUGAAUCAUAAUCCACAUGACAGUCAUUCCUCUUUUGGCCAACAGAGGGCGUCAGCCUUCCCCUACCCAGUCGUCUCAUAUUACAGGAAGAAUUCUUCCCCUGUUGAACUCUGAUUCAACAUGGGAGGAAUUCUUCGAGUAUGCAGGAAGACACAUCAAUGGACAAUCCACAAUGUUUCAUUGGAAUAAAUGAAUAGAGAGCUUGUCAUUCAGCAUACUGUUUUCAUCAUUAGGGUUCACACACACACACACACACGCACACACACACACACCCCCUCAAGAGUCUUGCAUUCAGCUAGGGUGCGGCUCAUUUUUCAGUGUUAUCAAGUUGUGGUUAAGUUAGGGCGUUUACAUAAUUGUGACACAGUUUGGUAGCCUUAGCUAUAGAUGCCAAAUGCCAGAACUAAAUCAAAUGGAAGCCAUUGAUUGACAUGUAUUUCAUCUAUAGCCCCUCUCAAACGCUGGUGGGGAUCAUUAAAAUGGAAGCCAUUCCACAUGCCGAAUCACAAACAGUGGUAAUCUAUGUGCUGUAUUACAUUCAUCAGUGAUCAGAGCAUUGAGCUAGAGGGAAUGUUUCCAUAACCCUAAGAUUGACACUAUGUAUUCAGCCCCCCGGGAGCAGGAAGCAUAACCAGCUGUGAAUGAGGUAACCUCGGGGAGGGGGGGUUCAGGGUCUCGUCAAGAAACAUCUACGCCAGUCUCUUCCCGACAAAAUCCGUCUGGGAGCCAAAGCCACAGCAGAGAAAACAAACAGCUCGUCCACUAUUUUAACCCCACGUUAGCAGGGCCUGCUUUCCCGGUUCUGCUGCUGUCCUUGUAGGGCUUUGACUCCGAACUUCGUUAUUCGAAUAACAAAAAAUAAAUCAAAAUUCAAACGAAUAUUACGCAGCCCUUAAUAUUCGAACCAGGCCAAGAGGUAGAGACGUUGGAGAAUCCGACGCAGUCUAUUCAUAAUAUUAUAAUAUUAUUAAUAAAUAUUCGAAUAUAUUCAAAUAUUCAUAUUAAUAAACAAACAAACUUCGAAUAUGAUUUUUGGGCAAAAGUCAAAGCCCUAUAUCCUUGUGGUGAAUCAUGCCUCAUGCACAGGGGGUGAGAAGGUGGCGGUGGUCGUGAAUAUUACGGGGUACUUCAGACAGCCUUGACAUUUUUUUUGUAUAGUGGAACAGUAGGGGCUGUAAUCCCAUUAGUGUUGGUUCACUGGGCAUACCGGCGUUGGCUGUGUGUGUGUGUGUGUGUGUGUGUGUGUGUGUGUGUGUGUGUGUGUGUGUGUGUGUGUGUGUGUGUGUGUGUGUGUGUGUGUGUGUGUGUGUGUGUGUGUUCCCCCCCUCCGGAUACCUCUCAGCUCUUUUACACACACUCCGUCGGAGUUAACUGACAAAGGAGUCCCUGCAGAGAGUGCUGAAAGCAGAUGCGCCUGCACGGACAUGUUGGGAUACGUUGUAGAACUCACAAAUCUUCACCAUUUCUUCAUCGUAUGCAGAUGUGUGCCAUGAUUAUGUUAAUUAUUUUUCAGGGUUUUGG
ensembl:lncRNA